rnacentral:rRNA from 1 species
AACAGGAUUAGAUACCCUGGUAGUCCAUGCCGUAAACGAUGUCUACUAGCCGUUGGGGCCUUUGAGGCUUUAGUGGCGCAGCUAACGCGAUAAGUAGACCGCCUGGGGAGUACGGUCGCAAGACUAAAACUCAAAUGAAUUGACGGGGGCCCGCACAAGCGGUGGAGCAUGUGGUUUAAUUCGAUGCAACGCGAAGAACCUUACCUGGUCUUGACAUAGUAAGAACUUUCCAGAGAUGGAUUGGUGCCUUCGGGAACUUACAUACAGGUGCUGCAUGGCUGUCGUCAGCUCGUGUCGUGAGAUGUUGGGUUAAGUCCCGCAACGAGCGCAACCCUUUUCCUUAUUUGCCAGCGGGUUAAGCCGGGAACUUUAAGGAUACUGCCAGUGACAAACUGGAGGAAGGCGGGGACGACGUCAAGUCGUCAUGGCCCUUACGACCAGGGCUACACACGUGCUACAAUGGUCGGUACAAAGGGUUGCUACCUCGCGAGAGGAUGCUAAUCUCAAAAAGCCGAUCGUAGUCCGGAUUGGAGUCUGCAACUCGACUCCAUGAAGUCGGAGUCGCUAGUAAUCGCGGAUCAGAAUGCCGCGGUGAAUACGUUCCCGGGCCUUGUACACACCGCCCGUCACACCAUGGGAGUUUGUUGCACCAGAAGUAGGUAGUCUAACCUUAGGGGGGACGCUUACCACGGUGUGGCAGAUGACUGGGGUGAAGUCGUAACAAGGUAACC